rnacentral:rRNA from 1 species
ACGGAAGGCAGCAGUGGGGAAUAUUGCACAAUGGGGGAGACCCUGAUGCAGCGACGCCGCGUGGAGGAAGAAGGUCUUCGGAUUGUAAACUCCUGUCGUUAGGGACGAAAAUGACGGUACCUAACAAGGAAGCCACGGCUAACUACGUGCCAGCAGCCGCGGAAAAACGUAGGUGGCAAGCGUUGUCCGGAAUUACUGGGUGUAAAGGGAGCGCAGGCGGACUAUCAAGUUGGAAGUGAAACCCACGGGCUCAACCCGUGGCCUGCGUCCAAAACUGGUGGUCUUGAGUAGUGCAGAGGUAGGCGGAAUUCCCGGUGUAGCGGUGGAAUGCGUAGAUAUCGGGAGGAACACCAGUGGCGAAGGCGGCCUACUGGGCACCAACUGACUCUGAGGCUCGAAAGUAUGGGUAGCAAACAGGAUUAGAUACCCUGGUA